rnacentral:rRNA from 1 species
AUUGAACGCUGGCGGCAGGCCUAACACAUGCAAGUCGAGCGGAUGAGUGGAGCUUGCUCCAUGAUUCAGCGGCGGACGGGUGAGUAAUGCCUAGGAAUCUGCCUGGUAGUGGGGGACAACGUUUCGAAAGGAACGCUAAUACCGCAUACGUCCUACGGGAGAAAGUGGGGGAUCUUCGGACCUCACGCUAUCAGAUGAGCCUAGGUCGGAUUAGCUAGUUGGUGAGGUAAAGGCUCACCAAGGCGACGAUCCGUAACUGGUCUGAGAGGAUGAUCAGUCACACUGGAACUGAGACACGGUCCAGACUCCUACGGGAGGCAGCAGUGGGGAAUAUUGGACAAUGGGCGAAAGCCUGAUCCAGCCAUGCCGCGUGUGUGAAGAAGGUCUUCGGAUUGUAAAGCACUUUAAGUUGGGAGGAAGGGCAGUAAGUUAAUACCUUGCUGUUUUGACGUUACCAACAGAAUAAGCACCGGCUAACUUCGUGCCAGCCGCCGCAGUAA